CAAAGAUCGACUCCCUCGCAAUCAAAACCAAUAACCAGUUGCCUUUCGAUGGAGGGCUCCAGAAACUCAAGUGGAAGUUGAGAAGGGCGGGUAACAAUAUGGAUGGGAACCAGUGAAGAAUCAUCUUGGAGACUGGCAUCUGACCAUGUGGGAAGGGGGAUGUGAGUGUACUGCUGCAGCGGAGGCGGAUCGGACGCCGCCAUGGAUCCCGAUCCCGGCCGAGAGGGGCGGAAGGUUUCUUAUUCCGGCGGAGCGGGGGAUCGCGG
rnacentral:misc_RNA from 1 species